rnacentral:misc_RNA from 1 species
AUUCUUUUGACGUACAUUGCUAUCAUUAUAAUAAAAAGUAUACACCUCAACACUUGAAUUUGAUUUAAUAAUUCAAUUUAUUUUUCCAGGACUAGAUGGACGAGCUCAUUCGAAGAUAUUUACAUUAGUGCACACUUUUCACCGGAAAAUCAAACUUUCAAUGCAUGCAAGGGGAAGAGAGGAAUAUCCUGCAAUGUUAACAGAGCCAAACGAAAACAAAAAAAGAAGGUUGAAAUUAAACAGGAGAACCAGAAAAGCUCCCAUCUCCACUAAAUUCUAUCUAGCGUUCCAUACUAAGAGCAAAGAAAUAAAGAUAACUGAAUACACUGCUCAAAACACAUUGAGAGUUCCACAGCAUGCAUACUGUGACCAAAUUAAAACCCUAUCAGAUCAGAUACAUUUAGAAAAAAUGAAGAGAAAUCAACCAUAUCAAGCAACUCCCAUAAUUCAAUAUUUUCUUUUUUGGCCUUGACACCCUCUGCAUACUCCAAGCCCUGAAAGUGUUAGAGAUCGAGCCACAAAUAUCUUUGGAAGCUGGUUUUAGGCACUACCAAAAAACCCCUCUCUGAAUUUCUCCUUAGUCGUGACCAGCAUCUACUUGAACACUGCCAGUUUGCCGUCCAUAAAAGUUGCCCGCACCAUGCCUCGAGUGACCCUGGCCCCUCUCUCUAUACCCUGUCCCAGAGUAGUUAUGGGAAACAUCUUUGGGAACUUCCAAGUUGUUUGCUUUGCCACUGUUGUGGGGCCCAACUGGAUGGUACUCGUAAUGUGAAUUAUGUCUGUCUCUCUCCCGGACUGCAGGUACAUUAUGUUGCUUGCUAUCUUUCCCAGAUCCACUCCUAUCUCCACGAGAUUCAUGGUCUCUACUAAAUCGGCUAUUCUGAUUUCCAUUUUUGCGGAACCCUGAAGACAUGCGUUUGUCGUGCCGAAUGUCCAUAUUAGGGGAUGAUGAUUCAACAGGGCUACCAGGACGUCCUCUCUGUGCAGCUAUCUUCCUUUCUCUCUUAGGCUCUUGAUGCCCAACAGCUGGAGCUUCUUCCAAAUUGUUCUUUUCAGACAGCGACUGACCAUGGUGAGACUGAGGCCUAACUGCAGCAGCAUCCUUAUCUGGCUGAGGUAAAAGUGGCUCCCCAUGCUGAGUAGACUCCUUAAUAGCCCUACCACCUUCACUGCCUUCAUUCAAGCUACUAGUGAUCCGGCUUCCUCGUUGACUAGUGGCUGAAAUUGGCUGAGAUUUAGGCUGCCACUGAGACGUUGAUCGUUCCCCAGCCGAAUGAUUUUCUUUUGAAGCUACAGAUAAGUCUAUUUGAUGUAUCUCAGAAACCACAGAUUGUAUGUACAUUUUAUCAGCAUCCCCCCUAGUUCUCUUCUCAUCAGGAUUGUGAUUGUAUCCUGUGCCCUUGUGACCCUUGUGUGGUUGCCGCUUUACUCUGGCAGUCACCCCCUGUUCUUUUAAAACAGGAACAGUACUUGCUGUAUCAGGAUUUUCAGGCAUGUUCCAUCCAUCAGAAUCAUUCCAUUCAUCAGAAUUCCUUGGUUGCUCUUUCGUGGAACAUACAUCUGGUUUCUGGUGUUGAUGAUCCUCGAUUGAUUUCUGAAAACUUCUACUCAGAUUUGAAGUAGUUGAUUCAGCUGCACCCCGUUGACGCCAUGCUCCAUGCACUUUUCCCAACUUGUUCUGCCCGACGUCCCCAUUCCUGGAUUCCAUGGCAGCACUAAACAUCACAGUUGCUGUACCAUAGGUUUGGGAACUUUCAAUGCCCAAAGAACCAGACUCGGGCCUUUCAGCAGUUUCAUAUGAUGUAAUCUCAUUGCUUGAGGGAACAACUGCUUGAUGACUGCCACCUUGCUGAGAUAGUUCUUUGGCUACAGGCUUUGGAAUGUAUCUCUCCAUUUCCGCUCUCUUGUUUCUUGGAUUAUUCUGCACCUGUUGAUCACUCUUUGUGGACAGAACAGACUCAACUAAGCUAUUCUGAUUGGCUUCAUCAGAAACCUCAGUUUUAUGUUGUGAUCGCACAGGAGCCCAUACAACAGCAUCACCACUGUGGUUUUUCUCAGCUGAUUUAUUACUUUGUGGAUUUCUCGGCAUCCUGCGAGGAUGCUGAGAUCUCCACUGAUUAUUCACUCUGAUGUGGGUUUCUUCAUUUGUUAAUGAUGAGCGCAGCUCUGAAGAUUGAUUUGCAUCAUUUGCAUCAGUUGGGGAACGGACUGCGCUAGGAUCCAAAAUAGAUUCAGAAAUCUUAGACUCAGAACUCUUUGCCUUAACACUUUCAACCAAAGUGUCUAAAGUAGUUGUAUCUUUUGAUAUCACGGAUGGUAAAACUGCUGCAGACAGCGCCGCCUCCAUUUUGUGCCUGUUCUUCCCAUUCCUGUUCUUCCUUCUAUGAUGUACUGAAGACUCAGCUGCGAUGCUAGGCAAAUUUAACUCGCAGUUCAAAUCAAUCUCAUCAGCAACAUUCUCUACCAUAUCAGUAUGGCCUUUUGAUGCCUCAGUUCCAAAGGAAGAACUCAAUUUCUCAUUGGAAAUUUUUUCCAAGGGGCUAUUCUGCUUUUGUCUAUUGCCUGUACGCUUCUGCUUAGAAGCACCGCUGUCAUUAACCCGUGGUGCACUACUGCUGUGAGCAGCAUCAGCAUUAUUACUGUCUGGUUGGAAUGGCUUCAAUUGCUCAUGCACCCCAACAGAUUCAUUGUUUACAAUCUUUGGUGUCUCAAGAGGCACAUUGCUUGCCAUACUGAUGGAUUUGUCAACAGUAUUCAUGCUAAUUUCACCAUGCACAGCCAUACUUGGGCUGGAUCCCGAAGCUGAACUUGAUGCUCUAGAUUUGCUAGAAACAACAAUUGGUGGCCCAGCAGUAGCGGCUACCUCAUGCCUAUUCUGGACAACACCACUAGGAAGAGUUUCCAACUUCUCCCUACUCUGUGCAACAGUAUUUGGGUUGUAAUCAAAAGAUGAACUUGGUGCUCCAGAUUUGCUUGUAGUUAUGGUUGGUUGGGCAAGAUUUAAGGAUUCUUCUUGCCUAUUCUGGAUAGAAAUGGCAGGAACAUUUUCCAACUUCUGAGUUACACCUUCCCCUGCUUGUGUACGCCUGUUCAACUCUUCCAAUUUUGCACAAGCCUUGGCUCUCUGCUCUCUUGUCCGUUCUUCCUCUUCCUUCUCUCGCUGUUUAAUUCUCUUGGCUAGCUCUCUCAUCUUAGCACGCUGGCUGUCACUUGGUUCAAAGUUUGGUGCCAUGGAUUCUCCAUCGUCCUUCACUGAAGGAUGCAUCACAGAAUUCUGAGUAGCCUCUGCUGAAUUAUGGUCUUGCCCAUUAACAGAAGAAAUUUCACAAUGUACAGUUGACACAACGCUUUGUGGAUCUGCAACUUGAGAUUUUUUCCGCCAGCCAUCAGCUUCUUGAGUAUUAAAUCUUCCUUUACCACGAUGAUCAGCUCUACCAUGCAUGCCAUGAGAGGACCUCCUGGGGAUGGCUGUUCCACUUCCACUCACUAUUGUUGAUUCGAGGCUCCUAACUCCAGCAGAAAAGUAGUCUUCAUGUGGGGCAGAAUUGAUAAUUCCACUGACACAAGGCUUUUCAUAAGAUAAAGAACCAACAACUGCCUCAUUUGUAGAACAACCAGUAAAGACAUUACCAACUUGAAAUUUAUUCUUCAGCUCUUCCACACUAGAGACAGGUUUAACAUCUUGUCGUCCAUCAGAAGCCCUGGUUUUUGCAUUUAAACCUUCUAUUUUUUGAAUCAGACUGGAAUCUUUAGGAGUUGCUAAUACUUGAGGAACACUAGAAGCUGCAUCUUCAAAUUUCUUAACUGAAUUGUCAUAAGAUGCAUUCAAUUUCCCCAUACUUUCAGGUGACUUCACUUUCAUAGGGACAACUCCUUGAUUUUCAACAGCCUCAGAAGACGAUUCCUCAAUAACUGCCAUUCUUCUUGCUUCCAACUCAUGAUCCUUUCUGUUAUCUGCCCUCCAGUCAUUCUCCCAAGAUGACUUUCUUGUAUGCUCCCCCUUCAGAGGAUAUGAUGCAUUAGUUUUCAUGGUGUCAUCAAACUUCUGCUCUUCAUCUCUUCCCUCCCAGCCAUCAUGCUGCUUCAGAAGAACUUUGUAAGGUCCUCGAAUAUCUUGAGGAUGAACAGGUUCCACUUGAUCCAAAACCAUUGCUUUACUACUCAGACCAUAUCCACUGGUUCUGCCAUGAGAAUUGCCAGGAUCAGGAAUAUUUUGACCAGGAUACCUGUUAUAUGCAGCAGGGCCCAUUGCCAUUCCCAUGAACGGAACAUCACGUUCAUUGGGAUUGCAGUAGCCCAUGGGAGGACCAUAAUAGCCCUCAUAAGGCACUGGUCCAGGAUAAAAACUAGGCCUGAGAGGCACACUUGGUCGCAUAUAAGCAUCAUGCAAAUGAGGUCGGUACAUGUCCCCAUUUUUUGGGUGGGGGCCUCUAGGCGCAGCUCCUGGUGGAGGAACUGGCUGUGGAUUGGCAAGAGCAGGAGGGGGAAUCUGUGGUCGGUAGUAAGGAAAUGGUUCCAUGGGAAAGCCACUAGGUGCAACUGGAGACCCAAAUGGUGGACCUCCCGGAGGUCCUCUACACCAUACCCCACCUGGAUGAUUAUUUACGGGAGGACCAUGCCAAGAAUCAUAAUGCUGAGGGGGAAUACUAGAAUUAGGAUAUGGUUGGUGAUCAGUAUACCACUUCUCCACAUUGGUCCUGGCUACAUCUUCACCAUACAGAGAAUUCUCUCUUCUCCAGGGGCCAUCAGCUCCACUCUUCACAUUCGCAUGCACAGAAACAUCACCUUAAAAACCAAAACAACCAUAUAACCAUCAAGUAACCCAUUUUGAGAUAUGGAUAUAUUUCAUGUAUAGAAAAUACUGCGGCAUUCUAACCAGAAAAUAAAAAUCAAGUACAAGAAUACAAACCUGCAGAAUCCCCAGUCCCCUCCUUCCUGGAUGUUACACUAGCAGAAGAUGAGCCUGGAUGACCAUGAGAAUCAUGAUCUUGAGAAUCUGCAUUCUUUCCGGAAUUGUCCUUUUCUGAUCCAAGUGUUGGAAAAUCUCCAGAAGUCAGAGAAAACCCAUCGUUCUUAGAGGAUGUUACUCCCUGCACAUAACAGCCAAUAAUGCUAAGUCAGGCAAUUUAGAAAGAAACAGAGCAUGAAUAAAGCCCAGCAGAUAGACAGGAGGAAAUGGGUUGGUGUUCUGUUUGGCAGCUGCUGAAAGCCUCACACAAGUACAACGCAAAUUACAUGUAUGACUGUAGAACACAUCAAUUAAAUAGCCAUAAUUAAUUCUUCACAUCUCAGAUAAACCAAACCUAUUGCUGCAGAGGCAUUCUUCCUCCUUAUAUUGAAUUUAUUCACAGUAUCAUCUAAAAUCACUUCUUUCCCCCAUCUGAACCAAUUAUGGUAAUGAGAGACGGUGUUGACAGACAAAAAGCCUCCACUUAAUUAUGGUUUUUUUAUAUAUAUAAUUGAAAGGGUGGAAAAGCAAUCAAUUUGAGCAUUGUAAUGCACUGUUAAUAAAAGAAAGGAAAAGCUAAUGGUAUUGUAAGGCACUUAAAAAUUAAAGCAUCUACUUUAGGCAGAAAUAUAAAUAGGAUAGCAGUGUAUAUUUAUUGCUAGAAUGAGUCCCUAUAGCUAGUUAUAUAUUCUCUCUCUCUCUCUCUCUCUCCCCCUCUUUCUUUGUGUGUGCGUGUUCUUUCUUCUUGUUAACCACCAGCCAUGGCCUCUAUUUCAGGAGCUUCAAUCUCCAUGACCUCUUUCUCAAGGUCCCUUAAGCUUACCUCCCGGACGCCAAGCAAUGGUAUCUCUAGUCUCAGGUCGGUUUCACUUCCUAUUAGUGGAAGAAGCUUCCCCUCUCUUAGGUUGCACAAGGGAGCAUCUCAUUUCCGUGUUUCCUGUGCGGCUAAACCAGAGACUCUGGACAAAGUAUGUGAAAUUGUGAGGAAUCAGCUAGCACUAGCACCUGACUCUGUUGUCAAUGGAGAGUCAAAGUUUGUUGCGCUGGGAGCUGAUUCUCUUGACACGGUUGAGAUCGUAAUGGGACUCGAGGAGGAAUUUGGAAUCAGCGUGGAAGAAGAAACAGCCCAGAGUAUUAUCACUGUUCAAGAUGCGGCAGAUCUGAUUGAGAAGCUUCUUGAGAAAAAAUAGAAGUGAUUAAAGUGGUAUAAGGACAUGGUAGUUCUAUAUUUUAUUGUCUUUUUUCUUUUUUUUAAGUUAUCUGCCUUUCAUGGAGAACUUGCAAAUCAGGCCUCGAUGCUGUGUCUUAGAUUUUGCGGAACUAUCACUUUCUUUCCCCUUUUAAUGUUGGACCUUGUAAUGCAAAAACAGCAUAAUUCUGAAGGAUUCUGCUUGAUGUUUGGUGGGAGAAUGCUAUUCUGACCUGAAUGUGUGAUUCUCAUAUAUCAAGUUUUUUAUGUCAAAUCUUAAAUAAAAACAUGAUAUUUAUACUCUUUUUUAACCGUAAAA